rnacentral:sRNA from 1 species
UGGUUGGUGGCGCGCUUCCGUUCAAGGGCGACGACGUCACGCAUAACGAUCACCAUGCUGAUACCUGAGCCCGCCAACAACGCGGGCUUUUUUUU